rnacentral:rRNA from 1 species
CCUACGGGAGGCAGCAGUAGGGAAUUUUCGGCAAUGGGGGGAACCCUGACCGAGCAACGCCGCGUGAACGAAGAAGUUAUUCGUAAUGUAAAGUUCUUUUAACAGGGAAGAAAGAGAACUUUGACGGUACCUGAUGAAUAAGCUCCGGCUAACUACGUGCCAGCAGCCGAGGUAAUACGUAGGGAGCGAGCGUUAGCCGGAUUUAUUGGGCGUACAGGGUGCGUAGAUGGCAUAGUAAGUCUUUUGUAAAAAUGCUGGGCUCAACCCAGUAGGGCAAAAGAUACUGCAAAGCUAGAGUAUGACAGAGGCAAGUGGAACUACAGGUGUAGCGGUAAAAUGCGUAAAGAUAUGUAAGAACACCAGUGGCGAAGGCGGCUUGCUGGGUCGAUACUGACAUUGAGGCACGAAAGCGUGGGGAGCAAACAGGAUUAGAUACCCGUGUAGUC